rnacentral:rRNA from 1 species
AAUAAGCUAUUUAAGAGCGUAAGGUGGAUGCCUUGGCUCUCAGAGGCGAUGAAGGACGUGAUAAGCUGCGAUAAGCUACGGGGAUUGGCACACACAAUUUGAUCCGUAGAUUUCCGAAUGGGGCAACCCACUAUAUUGAAGAUAUAGUAUCCGUUAAGGAAGCAAACCCAGGGAACUGAAACAUCUAAGUACCUGGAGGAAUAGAAAACAAAAGUGAUUCCGCUAGUAGUGGCGAGCGAACGCGGAACAGCCCAAACCAAAAUUGUUUCGGCAAUUUUGGGGUUGUAGGACCACGAC